rnacentral:tRNA from 1 species
GCCUUCGUGGUGCAAUAGUAGCACUUCUGGUCUGAAUUCGAGAGGUCUAAGUUCGAGUCUCGGCGAGGGCA